rnacentral:lncRNA from 1 species
AGCUAACUAGUUAGCUUAGCGUAGCUUAGCAUAGUUUAGUUUAGCUAUUGUUCUCAAAACACCAGCUAGGCUAGAUUCCUAACAAGCUUCGUAGUUCUAGCUAAACGUCGCGAGUUAGGUCUUGCAUAAAUUGGUUUUACAGACGAACAGCUACAAACAACUAAGUUAGAUAAUAAACCAUAAACAUUGGCUAGAGACUUGUUUACUUUGGUAGUUUAGCUAACUAGCUAGCUUAACUAACUGGACAUUGCUUUAGCUAAAACCAGAGAUGUAACUUAAAGACUUUCAGAUAACGACUGGAGAAGAUUAAAAAAAACAAACAAACAGAAAGAAAGAAAGAAAAUAAAUACAAAAAUGCAUCCAGGAUAAAGAACAGGGGGAGGCCUGAAGGACGGUAAAUACAGAGGAGCUUCUUACAGAAGGCAGUUUGGCUGUAAAGUGGAGGAUCAGGUCAGCACCUGGUUGAUUGAGAUAACCCUGCUGUAUACACUGUAU